rnacentral:rRNA from 1 species
AUUGAACGCUGGCGGAAUGCUUUACACAUGCCAGUCGAACGGCAGCACGGGGGCAACCCUGGUGGCGAGUGGCGAACAGGUGAGUAAUACAUCGGAACGUGCCCGGUCGUGGGGGAUAACGUAGCGAAAGUUACGCUAAUACCGCAUACGAUCUGAGGAUGAAAGCGGGGGACCUUCGGGCCUCGCGCGAUCGGAGCGGCCGAUGUCAGAUUAGGUAGUUGGUGGGGUAAAGGCCUACCAAGCCGACGAUCUGUAGCUGGUCUGAGAGGACGACCAGCCACACUGGGACUGAGACACGGCCCAGACUCCUACGGGAGGCAGCAGUGGGGAAUUUUGGACAAUGGGCGCAAGCCUGAUCCAGCCAUUCCGCGUGCAGGACGAAGGCCUUCGGGUUGUAAACUGCUUUUGUAUGGAACGAAAAGGCUCUGGCUAAUACCUGGGGCUCAUGACGGUACCGUAAGAAUAAGCACCGGCUAACUACGUG